UACGUAGGGGGCAAGCGUUGUCCGGAAUCAUUGGGCGUAAAGAGCGUGUAGGCGGCCCGGUAAGUCCGCUGUGAAAGUCCAGGGCUCAACCCUGGAAUGCCGGUGGAAACUGUCGGGCUAGAGUCCGGAAGAGGCGAGUGGAAUUCCUGGUGUAGCGGUGAAAUGCGCAGAUAUCAGGAGGAACACCAAUGGCGAAGGCAGCUCGCUGGGACGGUACUGACGCUGAGACGCGAAAGCGUGGGGAGCAAACAGG
rnacentral:rRNA from 1 species